AAGAAGCACAAAAAAGGGAAAACAGAAGUACAUGUAUAAUGAUUUAAAUUAUAUAGGCUAUUGGCCUCAAAGUUUUCCAUUUUUUAGGCAAUGUUUUGGUCAAUCCUUGUCUAUUUUAUGUGGUAACUGUGAUCAUUUCUCCAUAGAAAUGACAGACCCGGCUGAGUUGGAAUCAACUUGACUUUGAACCAAGUUGAAUUGGCACAAAAUUGACCUGGCACCAAGUACUAGGGCUGAGUAGACUCGGAGCGAGCUAGUUUUGGACCAAGUUGACUCGGAUUUCCCACCAUAGUUCUAAGAAAGGUUCGACAGUCACCACCGAUUCUACAAGACAGCGACCUUGCAUAUGCAAAGUUUUCACAGCCAGUCAGUUCAACACUGAAAUGAGAAAGCAAGCAUGAACUUCGUUAUUGAUCCCAACUACCAGAUGGCCAGCCAGAUGACUUGUCUGACAAUUGAGUAAACACCACCAAGGCCAAGGUUAACUCAUUUCAAAUUCCCAUCAACAGCAACAGAGACAUUGAGACAACAUCAUCAGAAGUACCAGGCCUGCUUCAUGGUAAGUUGAAAAUACAGAUUAAUUUAGCCGAAAGAUUUUCCCAAACCUCAUUCAAUUUAUGGUCCAGACAUGAAAUGUUGUGCCUGCAUCCUGGUUUCUUUUUUCCCAUUCAUAUCCUGCAGGACAUACAGCAGGCUAACUGCUGCAUUAACCAUACUGUUGCUCAUUGUAAUGGUAACAUGGAUCAAGGUACCGGGUAUAGCAGAAAAUCAUCUGACAAGCAGCUCGGCAGGGCAUGCACGUGCUAGAUAGCAUGAUUAUGUGCUGAGCAAGCACGUACACUGUACGCAAGUACAUUAACGUCAAAUGGAAAAGAUUACAGAAUUUGAGAGCAAACCCCUUUUGCCAGUUGAUUCAAAGAGCCAAAACAGGUUCCUCAGACCCAAAUUAUUACAGCAGAGGAGAAAAACAGAACUUAAAAACAAAUGACAAUCCCUUGCUUUUAAUGGUAUGCCAGCAAAGCAAAAGGUAAUGUGUUUAUCACAACCAGUAGCGUUUAAUGAACUUUUCAUACAGUUGAGAGGAUUAGAUACCUGACAUCAACGUAGCAAAUUCAAUUUCCAACUGAUCAAUUUUGUCUGUGAGAUUCACACAUGCUGCCCUUUUCCCAAACCUUUUGCCUGAAGUUCUUGUCUCAACAUGAAGUGUAAUUUUGAGUAGGGAACUUUUCCUAUCAUUCUGUGCACAAAGAGAUUGCCCUGACACUAAUGGGUAGGCUCAUCUAAUAACAAUUCCCCUGCCUUAGCUAGCGCACCGCCAUGGCUCCAGGCAACACGUUUCACUGCUGCAUGUCAUGCUCAGCAUCACCUAUCGAACGAUGCAAUGGGCGCUCUUCAUCAUAUUUCCCUUGUAAAGAAACAGCAGCGCCUGAGUAAUAUUCCAUGCUAGGUCCAACUGGCGGAUCAAUUAUGUUCAUGUAGGGCAGGCACUGCAUGGGAAUCCUUAUCUUUUCUGCCAGAUCACUUCUUGACAAUCAUCUUUCACCACCUUUCUUUUAACAUUUCAUAGCAGUUAAAUGCAUGAAUAAAUGCAGACUUGCUGUAACAAGUGUGUGUAUAUACACACAUCCUUACACGGCUAUACUUGUGGGGUAUUUCCUUUGUUCUCGUGUACAAAACUCCCACACAAC